AUAAUGAUAAAAGGGCUUGAAACCCAUACUUCCCUACCGGCCGCCACUCUCUCUCUCUCUUCUCUUCUCUCUUUCUUUCACUGCCCUCUUUCUCACGGUUCAUCUGCAGCCACGAGAACCACCCGUAGCAGGCGGCCUAGCAGUAGCAACCAAUUGCGUUCCUUCCCUCCCCACCAGCUGCCGUCUGGUGCACAUGAACCCCAGCAGCCAGGCUGCGUUGUGCAACCAGUAGGCAGUAGCAAGUUGCUGCGUUGGGCCUUUCAACCACCACGACAACCUCGGUUCACCACCACCACAAACUUCACUUACCCUCUUCACCAUUUUUGCUAGUUUUAACUUUAAGCCAUGAGGAAAGAAAGACAAGAAGAGGAGGGAGACAAGGCUGCACAACCGUGAGGGUGGCUGUCGGCCAAAAAGAAUAAGGCAGAAGAGAGGAGGGAGGAAAGAACUCACCUCUUCAUAUCAAAAUCUUUUGGCCUAAAAAAGAGAAGGUACCGUAAAAGGCGGAAUCAGAUUCACAAUAAACGGUCAUCCUUACUUCAACCUGAUAUUAAUCAUCAACGUUGCAGCUCCAGGUGAUGUUCAUGCAGCUGGAAUCAAAGGCUCUAAAACUUAUUGGCAACAAUUGUCUAGAAACUGGGGUCAAAAUUGGCAAAGCAAUUCCAACCUCAAUGGACAGAGUUCACAGAGCCUCUCCUUUAAAGUCACUGCCAGUGACGGUGCGACCAAUGACGGCUGCACCGCCACUGCUCUUAACGUGGCUUCUCCUAAUUGGUUUUAUGAACAGACUUACACAAGUGGCCAAUUUUAAGGAAAUAUGAAUGUCACCUAAAUUUUAGUAAUAAUAAGUUAUUUUUUUUAUGGAAAUAUUACCUAAAAUAAUUCAAACUUUUUAUGAUUUUUCUACAGUAAUCUUAUUUAUUGAUUAACCAUAAAUAAUUCUAACUUUAGGGGUAUUUGCCUAGAGUUAACUUGGGUAUCCCGACCUGCUAUAGUAGGUAAUUCACUAAAAAACUAAAUUGAAAAUUAAUUUAAAAUUACAGAAAAUUUUUGAAAAUUUACAAUAAAAAUUCUAGAUGAUAAAAAAAUCAUAAACUUUUCAGAACAUUUUAAAUUUUUUUUUCGACAUUUUAGUUUAAUUUAUCUUUUUUUUAAAAGAAAUAAAGCUUACUAUCGCAAGUCAUCCAGUCACCGGGUUUACUCCAGUAUUAUACCGUUCAAAGUUGGGAUUAUUCAUGGUUAAUCAAUAGGUGAGAUUAUUGUAGGAAAAUCAUAAAUAGAUUGGAUUAUUCUAGAUAAUUUUUUCUUUUUUUUAUUACGUACAUAUUUGGAAAUUCUAAGUGGUGAUUCUGAGUUUUUGGCUUUUAUGUGUGGUAGAUAAACGUCUAUUUAUUCAUAUGGUGACCCUAACUUCUAAGUUUUCAACUUGGUAGACAAAACAUUAGGAUAUUCGUGAAAUUUACGUCAUUAAACCAUUAUAAUAACUUUUUUGCAUAAAAAUAAAUAUUUCGGUCUCCCUUAAGAGGCACAUUUUCAAAAAUGUGUUAAAAAUGAAUACUUAAUUUAAUGAUGAAAUAAACUUUUUGUCAACUACAUGAAAAAGCUGAAAGUUAUAAGUCAGUAUGGAUGUUCAAUAAUAUUUACUAUCCAUGUAAAAAGUUGGAAACGUCACGUUAUUGCAUGGAAAUUUUCCU